ACCCACUGCUUCAGCCUCCAUACUUAUUUCCAAAAGAUGGGGCAGACACAACGCUGGGCACCCAUGGCCUAUGGUAGCUUAGUGCCAUCUCUCUACCCCGAGCUCUCAUUUAUCCACCUACCUUCUGUGACCUUUGAUGCCAGAAGUAAGUCAAUGGGUGUCCCUAAUAGGUGCUUGUAGGAACGGGGAAUGCUUGCUGUUCCGUGUCAUGCUGUCCAUUGGCACAGCCUGGGCUUAUCUUCUGCAGGGUCUAUAACCUCCUCAGACAGUACCACCAGCUGAAGAGUUCCUUGCCUUGACCGUCCGUGGAUGCCAUGGUGUGGGACCAGGCAGUGCCCAUGUUCGUUCAUUAUCCUUGUUCCCUGUCUUUGCACAUCGUUUUUCUUGUUCAGCUCUCCUUCUGUUUCCUGAGGUAUCUGUGUCCUCCUUCACUCUUGCUCCUGCCCCAUAGUGGGGGCGCUGUCCAUCAGGCAGAAUAAAGGAUCUUUGAAGAAUCUGCACAGAGAUUCAGGCCCCUGGUACCUUCAAAGGACCAUCAAAGACUGCUGGACCCAGUGGCACCAGGUGGACACUGGUAUGCCACAGAAAUUCCCAAGUUCACAGCACUGUCAGUGAAGGAAGCAUCUGUGGAGCCUCA